GGGGUGUGCGCGCAAGAGUAGAUGCGUAGCUGUGGUCGGGUUCGGGGUAGCAGACGAGCAAAACAAAGUUGAUCUUUGCAGAGACUCAUCUUCCUUUCUCCCAGCUGUAAUUACCGUGAAACUAAAGAGGAAGGGCUGUUUGUGUUUGUUUGCAGGAUAUUGAUUCUGUGAGCUAGGAAAGCAACACGUUUGCAAAAGCUGAUCAGUUUCCCCUCUGAAGUUCUGAAAUGGAAGACUAGACUGAAGUGGAAAUAUUAAACUCUUAAUUUCUUUCCUACAUAUUUCCAUUUGUCCUUCCUCACCUCCUCGUCCUUUUUACAGCUGACUGUCUUCAAGUUGAUUCACAUCUCCCACCCCCUUAGUCUUACGGCUUUUUUUCCAAUUUUUAUUGAAACCUGGCAGGCUCUGCUAAAGGAAAUAACUCAC